AGUGAACGCUGGCGGUAGGCCUAACACAUGCAAGUCGAACGGCAGCACAGUAAGAGCUUGCUCUUACGGGUGGCGAGUGGCGGACGGGUGAGGAAUACAUCGGAAUCUACUUUUUCGUGGGGGAUAACGUAGGGAAACUUACGCUAAUACCGCAUACGACCUACGGGUGAAAGCAGGGGAUCUUCGGACCUUGCGCGAUUGAAUGAGCCGAUGUCGGAUUAGCUAGUUGGCGGGGUAAAGGCCCACCAAGGCGACGAUCCGUAGCUGGUCUGAGAGGAUGAUCAGCCACACUGGAACUGAGACACGGUCCAGACCCCUACGGGAGGCAGCAGUGGGGAAAUUUGGAAAAGGGGCGCAAGCCUGAUCCAGCCAUACCGGGGGGGUGAAGAAGGCCUUCGGGUUGUAAACCCCUUUUGUUGGGAAAAAAAAGCAGCAGGUUAAUACCCCGCUGUUCUGACGGAACCCAAAAAAGAAGCACCGGCUACCUUCUG
rnacentral:rRNA from 1 species